AUAGUCGGUACUAUCGAUGGUACGGGUAAUUGAGUAUGAUUGAUUCCCUGUAUAGGAGAGUUUUGUGCUUUAGCCCAGAGUAACGAUUUCGUUUCUGCCGAUUUGAGAGUAUCUCUCGGAUCCAUAUCCAAAUUGAUAAAUACUUUAUUGUUUUUUCCUUUCCAUAUAUACCAUAGAAUCCAUGCAAGGUGAUGAUCUUCCAUUUCCAGGGAGACUCUCCAAAAUAAAUGAUCCAUAUUUGUAAACAGUGAUUGAGUGGAAAAUAUACCGGAUUCGUUGGGAUUCAUGAAAAUGCUUAGACCUGGAUCGCCGGUGGUCAAAGAAAAUAUGAUUUAUGGACUCCUCAGUAGCUCCACAUUGGUCGCAUAUUGUAUCCUCUUGCAUUCCUCUUGACCUCAAUUUUUUCUUAACUGCUAUGCAUCAUGUCAGCAGUUGCCAUAAAAAAUGUUUCAUUUUAGGUGGGCAGCGUACUUUCCAGCAGAAAGUCUUUAGCGGGGUGACCGAAGGACCAUACACGGGUGGUAUUCUUUCUUUAUCCGGAUACACUCAUUCCACUUGAUAUCCAGAUUUAACUGUGUAUCUCCCAUUGUUUGUAAAAUACCAUCCAUCCCGAUCUUCUGUAUGAAAUCGACUUGUGACAAUAGAAAGAUUUAUCGUUAGUGACUAAUUGUUUAAUCAAAACUCUAAACCCCAAAUAAAAGUUUUGAAACCCUAAACUAUAAACAGAAAAAAGUAAUUACUUUAAUACAUUGAUCCAAAGCUAGGAUUCAACGUUUACAAAAGAAUUCUAAUUUUUCAUAUGUUAUUUUCAAAUUUUUACUUUAAUCUUCAAACCUUAAACAAAACCCAAACUCUGUAUUCCAAUUUCUAAAUUAAAAAUUCUAAACCUUUAACUUUAAAUUCUUAGGCAUUAGAUUUAAAUCAUAAACCAUAAAAUAAAAUAUGCCUAUUACUUGUCCAUAAAUAAAACCAAUAUAUAGAUCUUGAACUAUCUAAACUCAAAUCUAACCCUAAGUUAUAAACAAUAAAUUUAAAAUAGACUAAAAUGUAACCCUGAGUAUAUUAAAACUUCAAAAUCUAAAAUUUACACCAGUUUUUAAAUAUAAAUAAUACAAAUUUGAAAAUUUAAAGGAAAAAUAAAUAUAUAUUAUUUGGUUUAAAAUUUAUUCAUUUUAUAUGUCUAAAUAUCACAAUUCACAACUAAUCACAAUUUGUCACCCUUUUUUGACAACAAAGAUAGAUUUUAUUCAAAUAGUGAAUGGAUAAUACAAUUUUUCACUUUUAUUAUAUAUCACAAUUGCUAAAAUAAAAGUAUGGCCAUAAAAUUUUGACUGAAUUUUUUUUGUUCCCCCGAUUUAAUUGUGUAACCCGCCGCCACAAAUAUAUCCUAAAACCCUAAUUACACUUACAAUAACCUCUUAUUUUUCUUGUUUAAUUCCCCUCCAUGUCUCUCUCUCUUUUCCUUCGGUUUCGUUCUUAGAUCGUAUCUCGUUUCUUAAAUUUUCAGUCUUGUUCAGUUGCAUAUAGGAAUCUCCGGCAGUGGUUAGAAGAGGAGAUGUGUUUCUUCAGUCUCUCCAGCAGUGGUAAGAGAUCUUCGCAUCCAAUGUGAAUCUUCGUUUUGUUCUGUUCGAUGCAGACAUUUGCAUGUCGACUCAGCUUACUUUGAUAGCAAUUAGAUCCUUUUGUUUUACGUAAUAUUAGAGAUUUUCCUGCCAAUUUCAGUUUACUUUGAAUUUUGAGAUGAGAAAAGUGAAUCGAUUCCAGUUUUUGAUUCUUCUCGGCCGAGCAUAGUUUGAUUUUAAAUUGUUUUGUUUAUUUAGAUAUAUGGACCUUUCAUACCAUGUCAAUUCAGCGAGAUGAAGAAUCUAAACCAGUGGAAACACAAGUUCAUGUUCUAUUGUCGUUACUUUAUCUCAGUUUCACCACGCUUGAAUUUCCUGUCAAAUACCAAGAAGAGAAUUGAUCUGUGGCUACAAUACGAACGCUGGAAGCACAUCUCUCACUGUUUGAUCAGGAUCCAUAAAAACUAUGAUCUUUUGCUGAGACACAAUUUGCACAUUAUUACUAUUCUAAGAUGACCGCCCUGUUCGGCAAGAAAAGUUCAGAUUGCUUGGCAUGAUAUAUUGGUCACCAACCCCAAGGUCUGCCACAGCUAAUCAAGUGUUUUACCUUCGAAUGUGAUGGUGGUGGAAAACGCAGCAUCAAUGAUCUGCAACAGCGGUGGUGUUGGCCGAUAUGGCCGAGACGACUAGAAUUAGAUGUAUUGAUUUAUUGUUUUCUUUUUUAUCUUUAAUUUUAAUUAUUUAAUUAAUUUUAUUUAUUUGUAUUACAAAAUAUUAUUCGAAAAAUAAAUACAUUUUUUUAAAAAAAAA